AUCCAUCUGACAAGUCCCAAAUCGAACGAAAUCCACGUCCUGGAU
rnacentral:hammerhead_ribozyme from 1 species